AUCUCUCCGUUCACGGCCUCCUCUCCUCUCGAUUAGCACCAUGGGUAGUCACGGUAAGAGUAGCAAGAGCAGGCGCGAAGCCUCGUCGGCGUCGAAGAGAACUGGUCGAAAUCGUCGAGAAAGAGAUGAUUCCGAAUCCGAGUCAUAUACGGAGUCUGAUGAUUCAGACAGCCGCGAUUCCUCCCCUCCUAGAACCUCCAGCAAGCGCAGGGAAGGUAGUAGCAGAAGUGGUCGCCGAAUCCGGCGGCGAAGUUCCUCACGGGAUCGGGACUCUGAUGAUUCCAGUGACAGCAAUGACGGGCGCAAGAAGAGAACUAGGUCCUCGAGGAACGUCACUGAAGAAGAAAUUACUGAGUAUUUGGCCAAGAAAGCUCAGCGAAAGGCGAUGAAAGUGGCCAAGAAGUUAAAAACACAGAGCGUUUCUGGUUAUUCCAAUGAUUCAAACCCGUUUGGCGAUUCCAAUCUCAACGAGACAUUUGUGUGGCGGAAGAAGAUUGAGCGCGAUGUUGUCCAAGGUGUGCCACUUGAUGAUUUCUCUGUUAAAGCUGAGAAGAAGAGACAAAGGGAGAGGAUGGCUGAGGUAGAAAAGGUCAAAAAGAGAAGAGAAGAAAGGGCUCUUGAAAAAGCUAGGCAUGAGGAAGAAAUGGCCAUGCUAGCUAGAGAACGUGCUCGGGCAGAAUUUCAGGAUUGGGAGAAGAAAGAAGAGGAGUUCCAUUUUGAUCAAAGCAAAGUCAGGUCAGAGAUUAGAUUGCGUGAAGGCCGUACUAAGCCUAUUGAUGUUCUGUCCAAGCAACUUAAUGGCUCAGAUGAUUUGGAUAUAGAAAUUAAUGAACCAUACAUGGUUUUCAAGGGCUUGACUGUAAAAGAGAUGGAAGAGCUUCGGGAUGACAUCAAAAUGCAUCUAGAUUUAGGCAGGGAAACACCAACACAUAUAGAAUAUUGGGAGGCAUUGAUGGUGGUUUGCGAUUGGGAACUAGCUGAAGCACGUAAAAAGGAUGCACUGGAUCGAGCAAGGGUACGUGGAGAGGCCCCUCCUGCCGAAUUGCUGGCAGAAGAAAGGGGUCUUCACUCUAGCAUUGAAGCAGAUGUCAGGAAUCUCUUGCAAGGGAAGAGUCAUAGUGAAUUGGAGGCCUUACAAGUGCAAAUUGAGUCCCAGAUGCGUUCUGGAACUGCAAAAGUAGUUGAGUACUGGGAGGCUGUUCUUAAACGCCUCCACAUAUACAAGGCAAAGGCAUGUUUGAAGGAGAUUCAUGCUAAAAUGUUGCGCAAAUAUUUGCAACGUCUUGAGCAUCCUUUGGCAGCUGAAGAGAAGUUAACAACUGAUAAUGUUUUAAGCCCAAUAGCCGAGGAGAGUGACCAUGAUGUGGAAGACACUGAAACAUACUCUCCAGAACCUAUGUUGAGGGAAGAGACUGAGGAGGCAGAAAGAGAGGCUGGGUCCUUUUCACCAGAACUUUUGCAUGGCGAUGAAAAUGAAGAAGCAAUCGAUCCCGAAGAGGACAGAGCUAUACUGGAGCGGAAACGUAUGGCUGUGUUAGAAGAACAACAAAGACGGAUUAAAGAAGCCAUGGCUUCGAAGCCAACUCCACCAGAAGAUAAUUUUGAACUGAAGGCAAUGAAAGCCAUGGGAGCCGUGGAAGAAGGCGAUGCAAUGUUUGGAUCUAGUGCCGAGGUGAACCUGGACUCACAGGUAUAUUGGUGGCAUGACAAGUACCGACCAAGGAAGCCAAAGUACUUCAACCGUGUUCACACUGGAUACGAAUGGAAUAAAUACAAUCAGACACAUUAUGACCACGACAAUCCGCCUCCGAAAAUUGUGCAAGGAUAUAAAUUUAAUAUAUUCUAUCCUGACCUUGUUGAUAAGUCAAAAGCUCCAACUUAUACUAUUGAGAAGGAUGGGAACAGUGCUGAGACUUGUAUUAUAAGGUUUCAUGCUGGACCUCCUUAUGAGGACAUAGCAUUUCGGAUUGUAAACAAAGAAUGGGAAUACUCCCAUAAGAAGGGGUUCAAGUGCACAUUUGAACGUGGUAUUCUACACGUUUACUUCAAUUUCAAACGCUAUCGCUACCGCCGUUGAGAGGAUUGAUGACUUGCUUUUGGCAUAAAUCCCAGUUGUUGAAUCAUUUGGGAGAAGCAGAUCAAGAAUAAUGGAAAAAUCUCUUUCCGACUACUUCAUGCACCAGGCGUUAGCUCUUGAACAGCAUCUUUCAUGCAAGGCCUAUCCGCUGCCUUCUCCCGUGGGAAGGCAAGAGCAAGUUCUGAGAAAAAUCUUAGAACUUAUUUCAAGAUUACCUGAAGGUUCCCUUCCCAGCAGCCGGUGAUCCACCACAUCCAUGAGUGCACUGCCGUUGGCCUGCCCACUGGCAAAAAUGGCUAGGUUGACAUCAUUUUCGUGAGAAGUCAAUAGCCUUUUGGAAGUCAGCAGCUCAAGCAGUACAACCCCAUAACGGUAGAAAUCACUUUUAUUAGUUAAUCGGUAGUCGCGAUAAUAUAUAUUCAGGAUCCAAGUAGCCUAGUCCCUUGAACACGAGUUGACACGACUCGGUACAGGGGCGGACAAAGGACUUGGUUAUAGCCUAAUCAGUUAUUUCUCCGGACUUAGUACGUACACUUGAUUCUAAAUUGUGCUUAGAGGCUAUGGAGCUUCAACUGAGCCACAAUUUGGACAAGUCUUCAGGGAAGAACUGUAACAGCGAAGGACAAGAUGCCAAGUACAAACAAAAGGAAGAAGUAGAUAUCUCUUACCUAAGAUCAUGUUGCACAUGAAUACAGGAAAAGCUUAAGGAUUAAGGAAGAACAGGCAGGAAGGAAGAUGGGGAAGUAAAAAGCUGUCGACAGAGAAUAAAGGAGAAGAAAUGAUAACUUGAAAAGUCGGUAUAAGAAUCUACUUGAAGGAAAACUGGUCCUCUAUAGGAGAAAGGGGUUAUGUACAAAAAUUAUUAUAAGCAUCAAUAGGCAAGCUUAAACAUCCAAAUCCAGCAGUAUACUACAAUUU